AACUCUAACAGAGUCGUUACAGCGGGCCACAGCACAGCACUACUUAACUGCAUUACAUUUAGUAGCUAUUUCCGGCUCCAAACAUUUUUAAGCAUUACGUUACGAUGAAAUUAGUAGUUCGGUGUGGUGUGUCACGUGUGCGCGGGCCGGUGUGGACUCCACGGGCUCCGGUGGCAGCUCUAUCAUGAGUUUGCAAGCGUGCAGGUGUUCGAUUUCGAAACGUCAAAAUGUCAACGAGCGACGUCCACUAUGACACUUUUUAAUACGCUUUUAUUACCUUCAGACAGCCGCUUACUUCAGAGCUCCACAGCGAUCGGACGCGUGACAGGAGCGAGUGGACCACGUGCCCGCCGCCGCCGGUGUAAUGGUGACAAAUCGAGCGUCCCCGCCCGGACCCGACACCUGAUCUCUCAUAACGCAUUUACUGCUGACCACUGCGCGUCAGAUAUCAUCUACUCUAAUACCUAUGAACAUGCAUUUGUUUUGAUAUCAAAGCUUUCUUUGAGAUUUUGAAACAAGGAAUUAUUUGUUAAAUUAUCUUGUUUUAUCUAGAAAUUGUACACUUUUCAUUUUAAUACAUUUUCUCCUUUUUACUUGAUUACAUUUUUGAAAAAGUAAAUAGAGUUCCUAAA